rnacentral:tRNA from 1 species
ACCGCGCCGGGGUGGAAAGCUGGUGCCGGCGGCUGGAGGCGGCCGAGGCGCUGGUGAUCGUCUCGCCGGUGUGGAA